AGUUCAUGUUGUGGAAAAUUUCUCCGCAACCCCUUGUACCUUUCCCAUGCCUCAUAUAAGGAUUCCCCCUCUUGUUCAAAGUUGGAUAUGUCCUUCUUCAGUUU